AGGGUUUGAUCAUGGCUCAGAACGAACGCUGGCGGCAGGCUUAACACAUGCAAGUCGAACGGCUGUAGCAAUACAGCAGUGGCGCACGGGUGAGUAACGCGUGGGAACGUGCCCUUCAGUCAGGAAUAACCUCGGGAAACUGAGGCUAAUACUUGAUAUUCCCUCCGGGGGAAAGAUUUAUCGCUGAAGGAUCGGCCCGCGUCAGAUUAGCUAGUUGGUGAGGUAAUGGCUCACCAAGGCUCCGAUCUGUAGCUGGUCUGAGAGGACGACCAGCCACACUGGAACUGAGACACGGUCCAGACUCCUACGGGAGGCAGCAGUGGGGAAUAUUGGACAAUGGGCGAAAGCCUGAUCCAGCCAUGCCGCGUGAGUGAUGAAGGCCUUAGGGUUGUAAAGCUCUUUUGUCAGGGAAGAUAAUGACGGUACCUGAAGAAUAAGCACCGGCUAACUUCGUGCCAGCAGCCGCGGUAAUACGAAGGGUGCUAGCGUUGUUCGGAAUUACUGGGGCGUAAAGCGCGCGUAGGCGGGCUGUCAAGUCAGGGGUGAAAUCCCGGAGCUUAACUCCGGAACUGCCUCUGAAACUGUCAGCCUGGAGUGUGUGAGGGGAUAGCGGAAUUCCUAAUGUAGAGGUGAAAUUCGUAGAUAUUAGGAGGAACACCGGUGGCGAAGGCGGCUAUCUGGCACACAACUGACGCUGAGGCGCGAAAGCGUGGGGAUCAAACAGGAUUAGAUACCCUAGUAGUCC
rnacentral:rRNA from 1 species